rnacentral:rRNA from 1 species
AGUGAACGCUGGCGGUAGGCCUAACACAUGCAAGUCGAACGGCAGCACAGUAAGAGCUUGCUCUUACGGGUGGCGAGUGGCGUACGGGUGAGGAAUACAUCGGAAUCUACUUUUUCGUGGGGGAUAACGUAGGGAAACUUACGCUAAUACCGCAUACGACCUACGGGUGAAAGCAGGGGAUCUUCGGACCUUGCGCGAUUGAAUGAGCCGAUGUCGGAUUGGCUAGUUGGCGGGGUAAAGGCCCACGAAGGCGACGAUCCGUAGCUGGUCUGAGAGGAUGAUCAGCCACACUGGAGCUGGAACACGGUCCAGACUCCUACGGGAGGCAGCAGUGGGGAAUAUUGGACAAUGGGCGGGAGCCUGAUCCAGCCAUACCGCGUGGGUGAAGAAGGCCUUCGGGUUGUAAAGCCCGUUUGUGGGGAGAGAAAAGCAGCAGGUUAAUACCCCGCUGUUCUGACGGUACCCAAAGAAUAAGCACCGGCUAACUACGUG